CAGCCGCCGCGGUAAUACGAAGGGUGCAAGCGUUAAUCGGAAUUACUGGGCGUAAAGCGUGCGUAGGCGGUUUGUUAAGUCUGCUGUGAAAUCCCCGGGCUCAACCUAGGAAUGGCAGUGGAUACUGGCAAGCUAGAGUGUGUCAGAGGAUGGUGGAAUUCCCGGUGUAGCGGUGAAAUGCGUAGAGAUCGGGAGGAACAUCAGUGGCGAAGGCGGCCAUCUGGGACAACACUGACGCUGAGGCACGAAAGCGUGGGGAGCAAACAGGAUUAGAUACCCCGUAGUCCCUGUCUCUUAUACA
rnacentral:rRNA from 1 species